UUAAUUAGUAAAUAUACAUAGCUAAUGAAAUUCUCUCUAAACUUAGACUGUGUAAUUAAUGAAUAACAAGCUUUUAUUGGGUAUCAAUUAACUUUGAAAAAGCAACUGGGAGCUGGGAAUAAGGAACCAAGGACUAAGGAACCAACUUCAGCCUCAUGCCACACUACACUGUUCAGCAUUCAACAGCAUGGGCUCUUUUUUGUAAUUAGAAGUGCAACAAAGACAUUUUGAAAAGCAAUGUAAGGGGAGAAAAUUGCCAAAAGAACAGUGCUUGGUUUGUUUGGUUAGUGGCCAAUCCAACUUCAUUUUUACUGAGAAAGCCCAUAUAAAAUGAAGUAAAUGUAAUGCUCUGAAAAGAGACUGGGAGUAAGGAGCCUAACAAAGCAGACUGCUUGGGAGUAAUAAUACAAUACUAGUACAAGCCCAUCUUACCUUUGUGUCAAACUAGGGUUAUUUUAAAUGAUGCUGAUGCUCCACUGGGAACUAGACUGAGAUCAUUUCAUAAGUCUGAAAAGCUUUAUAGUUUUUUACUUGGGCAAUGGCAACCUUUAAAAUAAAAAUGUUAAACAAGAUGGCAAUGUUUACUUUUUACCCUUCAAGAAUAUAUAGAAUAAUCAUGUUGAAAAAUCUUAAAUAAAAUCUCAUGCUUUGAGUAUUACAUGUUCUUUUCAAUGAUGUCUCUUUACAUAAACUGCUUUGCCCCAAUUUGCUUUUGUUUUCAUUGUCCCAAAUAUACAAUUCUUGAAAAAAAAUUACUGAUUGAUUUUGCUUAUUACAUUUACUUUGAUUAUAAAAGUACAAUAA